GACGAACGCUGGCGGCGUGCUUAACACAUGCAAGUCGAACGGAAAGGCCCUGCUUUUGUGGGGUGCUCGAGUGGCGAACGGGUGAGUAACACGUGAGUAACCUGCCCUUGACUUUGGGAUAACUUCAGGAAACUGGGGCUAAUACCGGAUAGGAGCUCCUGCUGCAUGGUGGGGGUUGGAAAGUUUCGGCGGUUGGGGAUGGACUCGCGGCUUAUCAGCUUGUUGGUGGGGUAGUGGCUUACCAAGGCUUUGACGGGUAGCCGGCCUGGGAGGGUGACCGGCCACACUGGGACUGAGAUACGGCCCAGACUCCUACGGGAGGCAGCAGUGGGGAAUAUUGCACAAUGGGCGGAAGCCUGAUGCAGCAACGCCGCGUGCGGGAUGACGGCCUUCGGGUUGUAAACCGCUUUCGCCUGUGACGAAGCGUGAGUGACGGUAAUGGGUAAAGAAGCACCGGCUAACUACGUG
rnacentral:rRNA from 1 species